GAAGCGGCAACAGCUCAAAUUUGAAAUCUGGCGCACGCCCGAGUUGUAAUUUGGAGAGGAUGCUUCAGGGCAGCGGCCGGUCUAAGUUCCUUGGAACGGGACGUCAUAGAGGGUGAGAAUCCCGUAUGCGACCGGUUGGCACCCGUCACGUAGCUCCUUCGACGAGUCGAGUUGUUUGGGAAUGCAGCUCUAAAUGGGAGGUAAAUUUCUUCUAAAGCUAAAUACCGGCCAGAGACCGAUAGCGCACAAGUAGAGUGAUCGAAAGAUGAAAAGCACUUUGGAAAGAGAGUUAAAAAGCACGUGAAAUUGUUGAAAGGGAAGCGCAUGCCACCAGACUUGUCGGCGGUGUUCCGCCGGUCUUCUGACCGGUCUACUCGCCGCCGGCAGGCCAGCAUCAUCUGGGCGCGCCGGACAAAGGCACGGGGAAUGUGGCUCCUCGGAGUGUUAUAGCCCCGCGCACAAUACGGCGCCGCCCGGGUGAGGUCCGCGCUUCGGCUAGGAUGCUGGCGUAAUGGUGGUCUGCGGCCCGUCUUGAAACACGGACCAAGGAGUCUAACAUCUAUGCGAGUGUUCGGGUGUCAAACCCCUACGCGGAAUGAAAGUGAACGGAGGUGGGAAGCGGAAGCUGCACCAUCGACCGAUCCUGAUGUCUUCGGAUGGAUUUGAGUAAGAGCAUAGCUGUUGGGACCCGAAAGAUGGUGAACUAUGCCUGAAUAGGGUGAAGCCAGAGGAAACUCUGGUGGA
rnacentral:rRNA from 1 species